rnacentral:misc_RNA from 1 species
AACGCACGAGACCUGCGGACCUGCGGAAGGAUCAUUAAAAAACUUUGCCCGCGGACCCUGGGUCCAAGGCGCAAAACCCACACUAUGUGCACUGUUAUCGUUCUUUUGGCAGGGGCUUGGGGUAUCUUCCACCUUGGGGAAUCUCAACUUCUCGUCUAGCUCUAUCCACCUCGGACAGCUGGAUAUGAGAAGCAGUUACCCUGCCAAGUGACCCUUAAAAACACGCUUUUUGUCUGAAAU